CUGUAGUGGCCCUGCGCGCUGGAAGUUCUCUCCGGCUGCCGCUGCACACCGGCUCGUCCUGCGCGGCUCCCCGCCCUUCCCCGGCAGAGGAGACAAUGCAAAGCACUCGACACCAAACUGCAACAGAUCCACCGUGGGUCUUGGGAAAGUGGAAUAUUUGGAAAAUCUCAACACCACCCAAAGCCUUAGCUUGCUCUCUUAAUGUAGCUCCUGAGUCAGGAGGAAUCCCAACGGCUGCUCUGUUUCCCUUGAAAAGUGUCAACACCUCCUAGGGGCCGGCACCUGCAGUGCAGGCAUCCUGUAUGGGUGCCGGUUCGGGUCCCAGCUGUUCUACUUCCCAUCCAGCUCUCUGCCAUGUCCUGGGAAAGCAGUAGAAGAUGGCCCAAGUCCUUGGGCCCCUGCACCUGCAUGGGAGAUCCAGAAGAGGCUCCUGGCUCCUGGCUUUGGAUGAGCUCAACUCCAGCCAUUGUGGCCACUUGAGGAGUGAACCAGCAGAUGGAAGACUCUCUCUCUCUCUUUCUCUCUCUCUCUCCCUCUCUCUAACUCUGCGUUUCACAUAAAUAAAUAUUUUUAA